GUCAUAUAUAACAGACUGAGUUUGGAGCUUUUUUGUAUUGUGAAUGGACAGGCGGAAUUUACUUUAAGCUGCUAUGGACUACCCAGUGGCUCCUGAUAUAACUUUGUUACUGCUGGAUCGCCCUUCAGUAAUUCAAUCGUCAUCAAGUUUUGAUUGACAAGUUGAUUGUGUUUCUUUCUUGCAAUAAAUGCCAUGACAAAUUUACAGCCAAAUAAAAC
rnacentral:lncRNA from 1 species